rnacentral:rRNA from 1 species
AACGAACGCUGGCGGCAGGCCUAACACAUGCAAGUCGAACGUGAAGCCACCUUCGGGUGGUGGAAAGUGGCAGACGGGUGAGUAACGCGUGGGAACGUGCCUUUCGGUUCGGGAUAACCCAGGGAAACUUGGGCUAAUACCGGAUACGCCCUCCGGGGGAAAGAUUCAUUGCCGAAAGAUCGGCCCGCGUCGGAUUAGCUAGUUGGCGGGGUAAAAGCCUACCAAGGCGACGAUCCGUAGCUGGUCUGAGAGGAUGACCAGCCACACUGGGACUGAGACACGGCCCAGACUCCUACGGGAGGCAGCAGUGGGGAAUAUUGGACAAUGGGCGCAAGCCUGAUCCAGCCAUGCCGCGUGGGUGAAGAAGGCCCUAGGGUUGUAAACCCCUUUCAGCGGGGAAGAUAAUGACGGUACCCGCAGAAGAAGCCCCGGCUAACUCCGUGCCAGCAGCCGCAGUAAGAC